UGGGGAAUAUUGGACAAUGGGCGAAAGCCUGAUCCAGCCAUGCCGCGUGUGUGAAGAAGGUCUUCGGAUUGUAAAGCACUUUAAGUUGGGAGGAAGGGCAUUAACCUAAUACGUUAGUGUUUUGACGUUACCGACAGAAUAAGAACCGGCUAACUCUGUGCCAGCAGCCGCGGUAAUACAGAGGGUGCAAGCGUUAAUCGGAAUUACUGGGCGUAAAGCGCGCGUAGGUGGUUUGUUAAGUUGGAUGUGAAAUCCCCGGGCUCAACCUGGGAACUGCAUUCAAAACUGACUGACUAGAGUAUGGUAGAGGGUGGUGGAAUUUCCUGUGUAGCGGUGAAAUGCGUAGAUAUAGGAAGGAACACCAGUGGCGAAGGCGACCACCUGGACUAAUACUGACACUGAGGUGCGAAAGCGUGGGGAGCAAACA
rnacentral:rRNA from 1 species